rnacentral:sRNA from 1 species
CUGUGGCAGCAGCCCAGGGCUGACAUGCAUUCUGGUUGUGUUGUUCCCUCUCAGCACCUGCUCCAAUGUGGCAAGCUCCCCCAUUCCACAACUGGUGAGCCUCUGAGGUACAUACAGCCUCUGGGACUGAAGACAGACUCAGAAACGGCUAGUCAGAUUGUGGAAGUGGGUCAGACAGGUGGCUGGUAAGGGGUGUUGUGUGCAGAAGUGGUAGGUCAGGGGCCUGCCAGAAUUUCUCAGUUCCUCUUUCGAUUUCACAGCAUUAGCAGCUGCAGCAUGUUCCCAGAUAUGUGCUUGAUGAUUCUAGAUGCCAGGAUGAAGAAUCAGAGGAAGGGCUCUGUGAGUCAGGUCUGGAGAGCAACGCCACCCACCAUCACUACCACCACCACCACACAAAUACACAUCAGAAUGACUCCGGAAAGUCAGAGAACUCACAAUCACAUUUGGGAGGCAGCAAUGUGCCACAUAAUGACACACAUGAGUGUGGUGCUGCUGCGGGAAGAUUGUGAGUCACGCCGGGAGAGUGUGUAAAGCUUCGGAGAAGAGUUGUCCCUGGUGUUGACUGGAUGUUCCUGAUGCUGGCAGGACUGCUCGGGAAGGCAGUAAAACUGUGGCCCUGACAGUGGAGUUCAAGGAACAUCAGUCCACUCACCUCUGCUGGAUGUGUCCCAGGUGGACCCUGCAGAGAUGGAUUAUUGUUUGUGCCGUCAGAGCAUCUACAGCUUAGAAGAAACAAGGAGCCAUGCAGAACCCCAAAACGGAGAUAUUAUGUAAUGGUAAGUAAUGUUAAGGGGGAUCUUCCUUUUUAGAUGGGUCUAGGUUUCUGCUGUUCAAUUACUUCUGUUCAAUAAAAUAAUUGAAGCUGGAUGCUUAUAAAGAAAAAAAAACCACUUAAGCUCACAACUUUGGAGACUGAAACUCCAAGAUCAAGGAGCUUCAUUUAUUAGGCUGCUAGUGAAUGAUCUUCAGCUAUACACACCAUAGAAGAGAAAUGCAAAGGGAAACAUCCAAACCCAGAAGAGAUUACACUUGUAGAACAAGUUUUAUCUAAAACAACCUGUUCUCAUGAGAACUAACUUAUCCCACAAAACCUGCAUUCAUCAUUUCUGGGCUUAGGACCUCCAAUGACCUCACCACCUUCCACCACACUAUGUUAAGCAAAGUCUCCACUAGAAGGUAGCACCUAAGGUAGGUCUAAGUUAGAACCAUAAUUGCUUACUUAUGUGGUGUGGGAGUGGCAUGUACAAAGGUCCUGAGGAGAGUGAAUUGCCUUCCAUUUGAAAAACUACAAAAAAGUUUGCUAUUCACAGAUGGUAAAGGUCAAAGGAACAAGAGAAGAGAAUAAGCAUAAAAAGGGGGGCAUAAGGAUGGGAUAGAAGUGUUUGAGGGGUCGGAGCAGAGAAUGGGGAAGUCAGGAACAGUGUGAAUAGUCCCUGGGGACUUUCUCUUUUUCUGACAAAUUACUUCUGGUUAUGAUUCAGACCUUUAGAUGAUAGCCACGGCCUCACCCACACUCUUCACAGUAUGGUCUUAACAUUCCUUCCAGAUAAAGAAGCUUUGUGUUCCUUCAUGAGACUGGGUGAGGUGACUGCUCCAAUGAUGACACUAGACUUAUGAAAUAUGACUUAGAGGCAGGGUCAUGCAAUGCACUGUGUUGUGAACUUGAGUUGAGUGUGCCCCCAAGGAUUUGUGUGGGGGAAGCUUUGUCCUCUGUGGUAAAGUUCAGAUGUGGUGGAAGCUUUAGGAGAUGGGAAUUGGUGGGAGGUGGUGAGGUCAUUGGAGGAUGAUGAAUGCAUAUCUUAUGCAUAAGUUAGUUCUUAUGAGAACACAUUGUUUUAGAUAAAAGCCAUUCUACAAGUGUGAUCUAUUCUGUGUAUGGAUGUUCCCUUUGCAUUUCUCUUCCAUGGUGUGUAUAGCCGAAGAACAUUCACCAGAGAUCAAAUAAAUGAUGUCUCCAAAACUGAGUCAAAUAAAUGUCUUUUCUUUAUAAGUAUCCAGCUUCAGUUAUUUUGUUAUAGCAACAGAAACCUGGACCUACCUAAAAAUGAAGAUCCUCCUUGUUUAUUCUAGGGACAUUUGUCUUUGGAGUCUUGGGUUUAGAAUGUUUGAGAUUGCCACACUUCGAGAAAGUUCAGGCCAUACAAGGAGAUCUUCUUAAAUUGUUCAAGGCAACAGCUCAGUUGAGAUUCCACCAGAAAGUUAACAUCAGCUGUCAGGUACUCCUGCUUCCAGCUGUUGAGUCAUCCUUGAUAAAAGACUUACCCAUCCAUGAUCCCUUCUGGAUCCAUAUUCUGGAGCCCAGAUAAAUAAUCCCCCAGUUUGCCUAAAUAAUCCUUGAUCCAUGGAAUCCAUAGUAUAUUGAGUUGGUGCUUUUAAUGCAUACUCUUACACUGAGAGAGAACAUGCUUCAUAGCCGAGUUACUUAAAAGAUAGUCGCACACUCUACAUGAAAGGACAGACAUCUAUGGCACACACAUAAAUACCAUUUGGAAGGGAGGCCAUGAAGUGGGAAAUUUUGGGUUUGUUGGAGACACAGUUGUGUCAUGUGAUGUUUUUCUGGAAAUGUCUUCUGAUAGUAUGUUUUACUGAAGCAGACAAAGUGAGAGGAUAUUUUGCUGAGAACAUACAUGUGGUGUUUUUCUGGAAGCUGCCUGGUGAAAGGGCCCAUGAUGUUUUGUUGGAGCGGACACAUGAGAGGACACAUGAUGUUUGGAAAGAGUAUAAGCAUAACCCAGCAGACAGUAGAUAAUUCUCUUGUAUUGAUUCGCCUUGCAACUUUUUGCUUGUCUUUGUUAGGCUUCACUGAUGCUGGUCUUCAGUGAGGACACUUUUACAUUGGUUUGCUUUGUUUUCUUUG